CUACAGAUGGUGCAAGCGUUAAUCGGAUUUACUGGGCGUAAAGCGCGCGUAGGCGGCUAAUUAAGUCAAAUGUGAAAUCCCCGAGCUUAACUUGGGAAUUGCAUUCGAUACUGGUUAGCUAGAGUGUGGGAGAGGAUGGUAGAAUUCCAGGUGUAGCGGUGAAAUGCGUAGAAAUCUGGAGGAAUACCGAUGGCGAAGGCAGCCAUCUGGCCUAACACUGACGCUGAGGUGCGAAAGCAUGGGGAGCAAACAGGAUUAGAAACCCUAGUAGUCC
rnacentral:rRNA from 1 species